rnacentral:rRNA from 1 species
UACAGAGGUGGCAAGCGUUGUUCGGAAUUACUGGGCGUAAAGGGCGCGUAGGCGGCCUUCUAAGUCGGACGUGAAAGCCCCAGGCUUAACCUGGGAACUGCGUCCGAUACUGGGAGGCUUGGAUUCGGGAGAGGGAUGUGGAAUUCCAGGUGUAGCGGUGAAAUGCGUAGAUAUCGGGAGGAACACCAGUGGCGAAGGCGGCAUCCUGGACCGACAUUGACGCUGAUGAGCGAAAGCUAGGGGAGCAAACGGG